UGAAGGUCAGGCUGAGGACCUUACCCGAUUAGCUGAGAGGUGGUGCAUGGCCGUCGUCAGUUCGUACUGUGAAGCAUCCUGUUAAGUCAGGCAACGAGCGAGACCCACGUCCACAGUUGCCAGCAUACCCUCCGGGGUGAUGGGUACACUGUGGAGACCGCCGCUGCUAAAGCGGAGGAAGGAGUGGGCAACGGUAGGUCAGUAUGCCCCGAAUCUCCCGGGCUACACGCGGGCUACAAUGGUUGGUACAAUGGGCAUCUACCCCGAAAGGGGAAGGAAAUCUCUUAAAGCCAAAUCGUAGUUCGGAUUGAGGGCUGCAACUCGCCCUCAUGAAGCUGGAAUCCGUAGUAAUCGCGUUUCAACAGAACGCGGUGAAUACGUCCCUGCUCCUU
rnacentral:rRNA from 1 species